GACGAACGCUGGCGGCGUGCUUAACACAUGCAAGUCGAACGGUGAAGCGCCUUCCUUUUUGGUGGGUGUGGAUGAGUGGCGAACGGGUGAGUAACACGUGAGUAACCUGCCCCCUGCUUCUGGAUAACCGCAUGAAAGUGUGUCUAAUACGGGAUAUUCUGGGUCUGUCGCAUGAUGGGUCUGGGAAAGAUAUUGGUUCGGGGGGGGCUGGUCUCGCGGCCGAUCAGCUUGUUGGGGGGGUGAUGGCCUACCAAGGCGGUGGCGGGUAGCCGGCCUGAGAGGGUGGACGGUCACACUGGGAGUGAGACACGGCCGAGACGCCUACGGGAGGCAGACGUGGGGAAUAUUGAGCAGUGGGGGAAAGCGUGAUGCAGCGACGCCGCGUGAGGGAUGGAGGCGUUCGGGUUGUGAACCUCUUUCGCCAGUGAAGCAGGCCUGCCUCGUUUGUGGGUGGGUUGACGGUAGCUGGAUAAGAAGCGCCGGCUAACUACGUG
rnacentral:rRNA from 1 species